UAGGCAUUUGUUUUCUUUUGAACUGAAUUGCUUUCGGGUUUUGAAUCUUGUGGUUUUUGAAUCUUAUGGUUAUAUAUAUAUACAUUUAUAUCUAGUGUUUGAAAUUGAAGCUUUUGAAUGUAUUUUGAAGCUUCUGUAGUUGAAGCUGCAACUGUAGCUUCUGAAUGCUCUUCCUAGAGUAAUCAGUGUGGUUAUUCAUUUCAGUAUGGAGAUGGAAGUGGGACAUCUGGUUAUUAUUUAACUGAUUUAAUGUAUUUUGACACAAUUAUGAGGGCUUCUUUGGUUGCUAACUCUUUUGCUCCUAUUGUUUUUGGGUAAGUUGUUGAUGUUAUGACUUCUAAUGAUGGUGUAUUUCUGUGUGGGAUUGAAAAUGAUCAUUAGAUGAAGAGAGUAGAUGGUUAGGAGAGUCAAAGAAGAAGCCUUACCAUAUUAAUACAUCCAUGAAAACACAUAGUAACACCAAUCCAACUUGACUUAACCAAUCAUGUGCUUGAAUUGCAUUAAGUAAAACAUGUUCUAUGAACAGAAAAAAAAUAGUGGUGUUCAUUCUCUUCAGUUAUUCUACAUUGUUAUGGUUACUGGUGAAAAAAAGAUGAGGAUAGUAUAACUGAUUGGGGAUCAAUGAUAACUGGGAAAAUAAGAAUGAACUAAUGAAAAGGUUAACUGAAGUAUGGUUAUUGAAGUAAUGGGGCUUAGUAGAAUAGAAUGUAUCUUAUAUCUGCAAUAGCUCUUCAACAUAUUAGGAGUUGUAUGUUAGUUUAAACUUUCAGCUUUUUAUUCUAUUGCAGUUGCUGUAUCCCAUAUUAAUGUUCGUUUUUAGUUUUGUGGGGUUGCAACUUAAAUUUUUUGGAUGGUUGUUUUGGAAACAGGUGUAGAACCUAUCAAUCUGGGGACUUAACUAAGACUGAUAGAGCAAUUGAUGAGAUUAUUGGGUUUGGUCAACAGGCCCCCUUUGUUUUAUUUUUAAUAUAUAUAUAUAUAUAAUAUUGAUUCGUGAUUGAUAUGCCUCUAAUUAAUUAAUAACUGUAUAUGAUAACAUUUUUAAAGGUCUCCUUAUGAACUAUCAUGUAUGUAUUCAUUUGGCAUCAUCAGACACAACAAUGUAAAGUAUCAUUGUUUUCUAAAAAUGAUGUCUUAAUAGGUAGCAAAAAAUGGAGAGUUGGAUUUUCCUAAGUUCUAUGAGGACAACCACACUUCCAAGAAAACGAAUGACUGGAUCCAUCCGAAAUGCGGCGAGCUGCAUAGAUGGUCAAUGUACAAGUGGCUGCCAUCGAGUCGGGGACACCAUUGACAUAGGAGGAGCUUUCAAGGCAAGUGCUUGGAGAGAAGAAAAGGUACUUGCUUGGAUUUGGGAACGGCCCACAACCCUCUACCAUAGCUGCAUCACGAGCACGUGAUAAGGACACGGAGGCAAUGAGAGCUGAGGUGGAGGCACAUCGUGAGGAGCGACAAAAAGAUCAUGAUGAGUUAAUGAAACAAUGAGAGGAGCGCGAGAGAUUUUACAAUGAGAUGUUGAAAGAGCGAGAGGAGCACGUUCAAUGUUACAAUGAGACGUUGAAAGAGCGUGAGGAGGGACAAAAAGCAAGGGAGGAGACAAAUACAAAGGUUGAGCAUCUUAAUAACGUAGUCGCCAAACUGUCACAACUCUUGGGAAUCUAAGUUGGUCAUCUGAUGUUUGCUUUUUGGUAAGAACAAUUUUAUUGAUGUCACACUUACUUUGUUUAAAUAUGUUCGCUUUAAGAUUUGAAAAUGCCAUCAAGUUAGUCAGAAAGAAGGUGUUGGGAGGGUAAAAAAUGCAAAAUAGCCCCUGAACCACUAGUUAAGUGGAUUCUAAUUAUAAUUCUCCCCUGGUUGGUUCUGUUACACCGUGUUUCCAUUUAGAAUUUGUAUUACAAAUUGUGAAGGGAGAAGAAAAUGGAAGGGAAAAUGGAAAAAAAAAAAA